rnacentral:rRNA from 1 species
AUAAACGCUGGCGGCGUGCAUUAUGCAUGCAAGUCGAACGGUGCCGCAAGGCACAGUGGCAAACGGGUGAGUAACACGUAAGUAACCUGCCUCUGAGUGGGGAAUAACUUCGGGAAACUGAGGCUAAUACCGCAUAUGGCGCGCCCUCGAUGGAGGGUUCACCAAAGCCGCAAGGCGCUCGGAGAGGGGCUUGCGUCCGAUUAGCUAGUUGGUGGGGUAACGGCCUACCAAGGCUGUGAUCGGUAGCUG